CCUACGGGGGGCUGCAGUGGGGAAUAUUGGACAAUGGGGGCAACCCUGAUCCAGCCAUGCCGCGUGUGUGAAGAAGGCCCUCGGGUUGUAAAGCACUUUCAGUGAGGAAGAACGCCUGGUGGUUAAUACCCAUCAGGAAAGACAUCACUCACAGAAGAAGCACCGGCUAACUCCGUGCCAGCAGCCGCGGUAAUACGGAGGGUGCGAGCGUUAAUCGGAAUUACUGGGCGUAAAGCGCGCGUAGGUGGCUUGAUAAGCCGGUUGUGAAAGCCCCGGGCUCAACCUGGGAACGGCAUCCGGAACUGUCAAGCUAGAGUGCAGGAGAGGAAGGUAGAAUUCCCGGUGUAGCGGUGAAAUGCGUAGAGAUCGGGAGGAAUACCAGUGGCAAAGGCGGCCUUCUGGACUGACACUGACACUGAGGUGCGAAAGCGUGGGUAGCAAACAGGAUUAGAUACCCCUGUAGUC
rnacentral:rRNA from 1 species